ACACGAACCACCCAAGUAUUGAUUUUUGAAUUAAUUUUAAUCGUUGCACGAAUCGCGUGUCAGAUGCUGACUUCUCUUUUCCUUUCUCCGCCUGUAUUUGGCACAGCAAGCAACCAGAUUCCAGUCGCACGAAUGGAAGAUUCCAACGUGGAAUUCAUAUACAUUCCUGUAAAUGUUACGAUACAUUCGUUUGGUGAAGAUCGAUAGAAUCGUGAAAAGAAUCAGCAAAAUUCGACUGACGCCCAUUAACCGAGGCCGGCCCGCCAAUGCGAUUAUUCUAUCAGGCGAGUGGGAUAUAACGCGGUGAGAAAGCGAC
rnacentral:misc_RNA from 1 species